rnacentral:rRNA from 1 species
GAUGAACGCUGGCGGCGUGCCUAAUACAUGCAAGUCGAGCGGACAGACGAGGAUCUUGCUCCGCUGACGUGAGCGGCGGGCGUGUGAGUAACACGUGUAUAACCUACCUAUAAGACUGGGAUAACUUCGGGAAAGCGGAUCUAAUACCGGAGAAGAUAUUGAACCGCGGGGGGCAAUAGUGAGAGACGGUUGUGCUGUCACUUAUAGAGGGAUCCGCGCCGCAUGAGCUAGUUGGUAAGGUAACGGCUUACCAAGGCAACGAUGCGUAGCCGACCUGAGAGGGUGAUAGGCCACACUGGAACUGAACCACGGUCAUGACUACUACGGGACGCAGCAGUAGGGAAUCUGACGCAAUGGGCGAAAGCCUGACGGAGCAAGGCCGAGCGAGUGACGAAGGUCUUCGGAUCGUAAAACUCUGUUAUUAGGGAAGAACAAAUGUGUAAGUAAAUAUGCCCGUAUUGACGGUAACUAAUAAGGAAGCAACGGCUAACUACGUG